GACGAACGCUGGCGGCGUGCUUAACACAUGCAAGUCGAACGGAAAGGCCCUGCUUUUGUGGGGUGCUCGAGUGGCGAACGGGUGAGUAACACGUGAGUAACCUGCCCUUGACUUUGGGAUAACUUCAGGAAACUGGGGCUAAUACCGGAUAGGAGCUCCUGCUGCAUGGUGGGGGUUGGAAAGUUUCGGCGGUUGGGGAUGGACUCGCGGCUUAUCAGCUUGUUGGUGGGGUAGUGGAUUACCAAGGCUUUGACGGGUAGCCGGCCUGAGAGGGUGACCGGCCACAUUGGGAUUGAGAUAGGGCCCAGACGCCAUCGGGAGGCAGGAGCGGGGAAUUUUGCACAAUGGGCGGAGGCCGGAUGCAGCAACGCCGGGUGCGGGAUGACGGCUUUCGGGUAGUAAACCGCUUUUGCGUGUGACGAAGCGUGAGUGACGGUAAUGGGUAAAGAAGCACCGGCUAACUACGU
rnacentral:rRNA from 1 species